AUAAUGUGAAGAAAGACUUUCGUCAACAGAGCGAAGGAUGAGCACCCAAUCAGUGGGUACGCAGUGCACGCAUUUCACAACAGGAAUGUUGCAAACCCUUCAAAGGUUACUGCUCUUCCAAGUACUAUAUUUAGCAGAAUUGAGCAGGGACUGGAGCAUGGCUCUUCUUCCACAAGAAUACAAUUCCAGAAAUAAGUGACACAUCUCUGAGUUUGAUGAACUCGCCCCCGUGUCCCGGGCUAUAUCUGGGGUCGCUGGCCGCGGCGGACGGACAGAUAGACAGACAGACAGGCGGGCAGACAGACAGGCGGGCGGCCCUGCCCAGGAUGCGGUCGCUCCGCGCCGGGCGGAUUUUACCAGCGCGUGGUCGACCCGCGGACCCGCUUUUCCGUGGCGAACCCCGGCUGCAGCCGGAAGCGCCCACUCAGCUCGAUCGCUGAUUGCAGCGCCAACCUCUCCUCCGCCACGUUUGGGGAGGAAGUCAGUGGUGUGGAAGGACCAGGAUGUUGUGCACGUGGUUACCUUCCAGAGAAGAGGGUACCAGGACCAGGAGGAGACGGGGUCCCCUUUAUUCCGCGGGUCCUCCUCCACGUCCCGGGGGGUCGCGAAGGCGCAGUCCUCGUAGAAGAGGUGCAGGUAGGAGCGCACGCCGAAACCGUGGGCCCCGCUCUCUCUCCUGCCCGAGCAGCGUGGACAGCAGCGCAGGUCCGUCGAGCCGGCCAUGGAGGUCCCGCUGUGGCGCGCCCCUCUCAGCCAGAGGUCUGCGGGGGGGGGGCGAGAGCAACCCGAAUUUACAGAGCGAGGGGUGAGACUGGACACCAUAAUAAACCACUCAGGAACAGUAUCAGAAACACACAUGUACCAAAGAAGCAUUUUCAGAUGUAUAGCGCAUAUAUGCAAACAUACACUUGCAAAAGCACGCACACACACAUUCACACACACGCACACACACAUUCACACACACACAGACACACACGCAAACCCACACGUACGGAAGCACAGAGAGACAUGAAAGAAAGAGACCCCGAGGCAUGUCAUGUGUGGUUGCCGCGGUAACUCCCCAUGAUCUUCGCCGAAUAGCUUCUCUCAGCCAGCAGGUUUUUUUUAUGGAGACGGGGAGGGAAACGCAGUCAGAUGGUAUCAGGCCCUGGUGCCGGGGAGGGCCAACCAAUCACUGGAGACGGCAGACCAGGGCCCGGAGGAGGGAGGCUGCACACAGGAAGUGAACUGGGGGGCAGCGUGACAAACCGCAGACAGAACCGUGGCGUUCCUGUAUGAGACUCCACAGCGUUCCUCAGUGAUGACAGCACUCUUCAAAACACACGGAAACUGUCGAGCGGCCGCUCACGUCCGCCAGCCAGACGACAGCGUGCGGCGGGAGGGCGAACGAGGGAGGAAAGAGGGACGAGAGAAGAAAGCGCUCUGGAGGGAAGAACAAAAGGAGGGGUCACCGCUUGUCCACGCCCCCCCACCCAAGGGGUUCACUGUGGACAUGGACACCCACACACCCACACACACGUGCACACACACGCACACACACCCACACACUCACAUGCACACACA